rnacentral:rRNA from 1 species
GAUGAACGCUGGCGGCGUGCCUAAUACAUGCAAGUCGAGCGAACAGACGAAGAGCUUGCUCCUCUGACGUUAGCGGCGGACGGGUGAGUAACACGUGGAUAACCUACCUAUUAGACUGGGAUAACUUCGGGAAACCGGAGCUAAUACCGGAUAAUAUAUUGAAUCACAUGGUUUAAUAGUGAAAGAUGGUUUUGCCUUCAAUUACAGAUGGAUCCGCGCCGCCUUAACUUGUUGGUAAGGUAACGGCUUACCCAGGCAACGAUGCGUAACCGAACUGAGAGGGAGAGCGGACACACUGGAACUGAGACACCGUACAGACCCCUACGGGAGACAAGUAUAGGGAAUCUUGCGAAAUGGGCGAGAGCCUGACGGAGCAACGCCGCGUGAGUUAUAAAGGUUCUGGGAGCGUAAAACUGUGUUAUGAGAGAAGAACAAAUGUGAAAGUAACGAUGCACGUCUUGACGGUACCUAAUCAGAAAGCCACGGCUAACUACGUG